CUUUGCACUCGCUAAACUUGCCAUAUGUCACAGGGUGUAAUGAACUAAAGGAACUUCAUUCGCUGUUCUCGGCUCAGAUUACAGUGAACAGCACAGUGCUUUGGUGUCCCUGGGUGCUUACAAGAAUCAGACUCCUUUAAAAGAUGUGCCCUCUGCAUAUUUAAUGUUUUGGGGUGAAGUCCCUGGAGGUAUUAUCAGCUAGCACAAAGCACCGGCAGCACGCUGGCCUUGCCCUCCCCAGCUCAGGGUCUGCCUACGCCUAUUCCCCGCUUGUCCAAAGUUUGCUGCAGAGAGACUGAACCUGAUGGGGACACCCAAGGAGCCAGC